UACGGAGGGUGCUAGCGUUGUUCGGAAUUACUGGGCGUAAAGGGCGCGUAGGCGGCUACGGCAGUCGGGUGUGAAAGCCCGGGGCUCAACCCCGGAACGGCAUCCGAUACUCUGUGGCUAGAGACCGGAAGAGGUGGGUGGAAUACCCAGUGUAGAGGUGAAAUUCGUAGAUAUUGGGUGGAACACCGGUGGCGAAAGCGGCUCACUGGUCCGGUUCUGACGCUGAGGCGCGAAAGCGUGGGGAGCAAACAGG
rnacentral:rRNA from 1 species